rnacentral:misc_RNA from 1 species
AAUCAAUCAAUACCACCAGCCUUAUAGUUCAUGUUUCCCUUCCUAGACCAGGGCAGUGUAUUCCUAAUCCUCCAAUAAUUGUGAAAAUCUAGCAAGAUUAAUGUUGAUGCAUCUUUCAAGCCUCAAGAUCAUCAAGGAAGGCACCUAUAUGGCAGAGCAUUCACUAAACCAUGCUCAUUCCCCCUUCCAGCAGCAGCUUUUUUGGCCUUAAAAUUAGCUGUAAAAUUUAAUGCUGAUGCUGGUUUUGGUUUAUCAAAUGUCGUUUUAUGCUAGCCAUUCAGUAUG